AUGAACGCUGGCGGCGUGCCUAAUACAUGCAAGUCGAGCGAACAGACGAGGAGCUUGCUCCUCUGACGUUAGCGGCGGACGGGUGAGUAACCCGUGGAUAACCUACCUAUAAGCCUGGCAUAACUUCGGGAAACCGGAGCUAAUACCGGAUAAUAUAUUGAACCGCAUGGUUCAAUAGUGAAAGACGGUUUUGCUGUCACUUAUAGAUGGAUCCUCGCCGCAUUAGCUAGUUGGUAAGGUAACGGCUUACCAAGGCAACGCUGCGUAGCCGACCUGAGAGGGUGAUCGGCCACACUGGAACUGAGACACGGUCCAGACUCCUACGGGAGGCAGCAGUAGGGAAUCUUCCGCAAUGGGCGAAAGCCUGACGGAGCAACGCCGCGUGAGUGAUGAAGGUCUUCGGAUCGUAAAACUCUGUUAUUAGGGAAGAACAAAUGUGUAAGUAACUAUGCACGUCUUGACGGUACCUAAUCAGAAAGCCACGGCUAACUACGUG
rnacentral:rRNA from 1 species